UGUGGAAAUAGGGCGCGACAACGCCCUGCGCCCCAGCGCGGCAGACGCGGGGAUGUUGCCCCACCACCGGGCCAGGAUUUGGCCGAGCACGUCACCGCUGCACCCGCGAGCUGCUCCGCAGGCUCUUUCCAAGAACUGGAGGCGAGGGGAAUCUGCAACGCCGCAGACAGUGUAAAUGGAAGGCACUGUUUUCUUUACAAGAACUAAUCGACCUUUUUUUCCAGUCACAGCUUCCUUCCAGCACCUACAGCAAAUGACACAGGGUCUGGCCUCCAGGGAACAGACUCAUUCCAUAUGCAACUCUGACACCUUCCGUGAUUGAUCCUGGACACCUAAAAAGGAAGGGCUUAAUCCUAAAAAAAGCUAAUGUGUUACCAUCCAGUCCCUGACUUCAUUCACCAGUACUUACAGCAAUACAGAGGAAAGACAUGCUUGUGACAGAUGGAAAGGACAGCAGCAGCUCAAGGCACAGCAGAGAAACAGCACAGAAGUACAUCCAAAAUCUUGUCAAGCACAUAACUGGUGCAAUUGCCUGUAUAUUGAGAAAGCUUUGGGGCAGGGCUGUGACAAUGGCCACAUGGGAUCCAUAUUUUUGUGGGAAGCUGAAAAUGGGCUGGUUAA